UCUCCCUCUCAUUCCUAUUGAGCCAAAAAGUAUUUCAUAAAAGAUUAAAAUUUUUGUUUCCCCCAAAAAGAAAAUCUCUUCACACAAAAGCUGAAGUGAGGAACUUUUCUGGCUUUGUCACAUCCUUUUUCCAAUGAACAAGCACCAGAGCAGUGAGCUUCGACCACCAAAUCUCCACAUAAAUCAACACUUCUCUUUUUCCCGUUGCAAACAACCCAGGACCACUAGACCUUAAAUCCUUUAACUGUUUUAAGCGAGCUUCACCCUUUUCUUCGGCGAAACCAACUCGUUCCCACUUUCCUUGUUCUGAUUUUCCGGCGAACUCCACUAUGCCAUACAACCAUCUAAACACUGCUUUGCCCACCUUUUCCAAAAAGCACACAACAAACAUGCCACUUCCCAACUUCCAUUUCCCUGCUACUGUCUUUUCCGGCGAAGCUACGAUUCCAGAGAAUCCAACCCCAAACCCAGCAGCUCAAACAAUCCCCAAAUACCUUAACCCCUUCAAUUUUCCCCCUCAAUUCACACAAGGAACACGAUUUCCCCCAAGUCAUUCUCCUUGUAUACCUUUGUGUCCAGUGCAUGUAUAUGUUGCCCAAUUCUUGAAGCUACUUGGAGAACUCUGGAUUUCAUGGCUAUUUCCAUAUGGCAUUACUGUUUCUUGAGGGUGCUUCACAUUUAGAAACCUCAAAUUGGGGAAGUAGCAAAUCUGGGGAGAGUAAUCUAAAACAAAUUUAUAGUAAGGCACCCAAACUUUGCAGGUAAGUUUAAUUUCAACCUGUUAAUAUUCGUAUAAUAUGUUCAAUUUUUAAUUGCUUGAAUUGUACAUACCCAUUAAAUAGCUUUAACAAUUUAUGUACAAUUUUAACUAGCUUCAAUAAUUUUUAACAGCUUGAAUAAUUAUUAAUAGCUGCAACAGUACACAUCUGUUAAUUAUAUCAUCUCGUAAACAUUUAUUCAACGUCUUCUCUUAUGGGAAAAUUUCCAAACUCGCUGCUCCUUAAUCUGUAACUAAUUGUUUAUCUUUUGGUUAACUGUUUGGCUCAAGGCCAUACCAUUUUACGAAGAACCUCCACCUUACCAAGUUGUUACUUAGCAGAAACUUAUGUUCAUUUAAUCAAUUAUUUUCCUGUGGAUUGCUGCUGAAUAUCCUAAUGUUUAGAUAUUGACAUGACUCUUUUUUCCAUAUAAACUGGUUAUUCAGAAUAAAAUUGAAUAUACUGUGUAAAUUAUUCUAUGUAUGGUUAAGCAAGUCUGAUUAGUUACAACUAUCUAAUUACUUCUUGUUUGAUGGCUGUUCUUGUCUCUGACUGUUUAAUAUAUAUUCAUAAUGUUGCAUAUGCUCUUAACUUGAAUAUCAAAAGCAUGAUGGAACUGCCAGUGUUGCUUUGUCCAAUAAAUGUAUGGAGGUUGCAUACAUGAGGGUAGUAAAUUGCAAAAGUAUGAAUAGUACGUUGAAAGAUCUUGAUUCUCAUAUGCCCCAAGGCUUUGUUUAGCUGCAGGGGUAGUACAUUGAAAGAUGUGUGGUAAGAUCUAGACACUAUCAAAGCAAUAGAUGACUUCUACAGUGAAGUAUAUGUUAUAAAUUCAAUAACUGAUCUCAAGUUUCCAGAGCAUUCUCUAGUUUCAAGACUUCAAUGUGACAGACUCCUCGCAACAUAAUUUUGUGUACUAAUUAAUUCCUUUCCUCUAUUUUUGAAUUAAAAUUACUUUGAUUGGAAUAAAAAGUUAGAUAAGAUUCCUACACUUAAAUAUAUCUUAUUUACUUGAAUAGACCAUUGAAAUGAUUGAUCAAUAUCCUAAUUAGAAUCAUGCUUGUGGGGGUACAAACUUAAUGAAAGCUUAUUUUGUUGCUUGACAUGAUUGUAUCAAUUAAUUCCCCUUUUUAGAUUUACUCAUCAUUGGGGUGUCUGUAUGUGUACUUCAUUUCUGUCUUAGAAGUUUCUCUUUGAUAUUCAGUGCUAAUUUCCGUGUGAGAAAAUAUGGGAUUUUGCCUUUUCCUUUCCACAGUUGGUAUUUAUUAGUCUAUACAGUAUCUAGUCACCAUCAUCAAAUGGAGUUGCAUGACUCUUUCUUGCUUAUGUCAUACUAAGUUCUUCAACGAUAGACGGAUAUAUCUGAAAUUUAUAAACAUUUUCUUGUCUAUAUUUUCGGUUUCAUCUAAAAGAUAUCUAACUUUCUGCAUUUUGACUUAAGUUGUGAUCACUUAUAUGUUUUCUUCAACAUAGAGAUUUCUUUUUCUGAAUUGUCAUCCGCAAAAUCUGUGAAACUUUUAAGUUUGUACAGAUUGUGUUGAAGUAGUUGUAUGUGUCACAUUUGAUGAGCUAGUCAACUUGGAUCAGAUUCCCAAAGGGGUGGGCUUCAAAUGAAUCUUUGUUCCUAUCCAUUACCGUAGUUUAUUUCUCAAGUAUUUUCUUUUUGUUGUGGGAUAUCUAUUCUUAUUCUGUAAGAUACAUUUUUCUUACAGGUGAGACUAGAGGGACAAACAAAAUUUCACUGGCAGCCACAUGUAUUUUAGUUUAUUUGGAAGUCAAUUAUUUGUUUCUUUUGUAUAAUCUUUAGCAAAAGAAUCAUUAUUUUCCUUCUAACUCGUGCAGAAACUUAUCGUAUCAUUUAGAAUUCGAGGGUUCCAUGGUGUUUAUAACAUGGAAAGAAACGUAUUAAAAUUUAGAUAUACUUGACUUAAUACAUUUCCAAUUGUAGCUGAUCCUUGUAUACAACUCAUUUUCCUAUCGCAUUAUUAAUUUACUUUAAUUAUUUCGUUUUAAUUCGUGUUCUGGAUAUAUGAAGCUGCAACCCGAGGUAUUUCUCCAGUUGUUCCCCCACAUCCACUAGAAUUUACUCUUUCAGAUCCGUGGGAUCCUUUUUCAUUGAAGCCAAGAUCCCUUGUUUCCUCCCCAUGUAGCUCAAAAACAUCUAAGCUAAACAACCGAUCUGAAAAUUUUGUUGCUGCCAUAGCUGAUCUCGAGCUGCUGCAACUCAGUUUUCUAAGAAUGGCAAUCCCCCAUCCAAUACAGUCGAGGUAGGAGAAGAUUCAACGACAGGAAAUAAGUAUUGGAGGGCUGAAUCAUGAGCGAGUUUCUGGAAAAUCUUGGUGACAUAACUUCAUUCAAACGUGUCAUCGUCUUCAACUCAACAGUAAUUCAAGCCAGUCUUACUACAUCGGAAAUUCAGGGUUAAAGUGAAGAUGAAAAACAAGAAUCGAUCGUUCAAGUAUUCCAAAUUGAAUGGCAAAAUGACAGGGUGCGAGACAUAUAGAUCGGGUGGCAUGUGAUGAUUCUCUUAGAAGUUGAAGCUUGGGAAAUAACAUUCUAUCAAGAAGGUUGGUAUGUCCUCACAUGUUUAAGGAGAUGGUUUUUGUUUUACUUUCUUUUUUCAAAUGUAAAGGGUUGUGACCCUAUGAUAUUUAAUGAGUCUAAGAUUGCUUAUGAAGAC